AUGGCCAGCUUGUUGACUGCUGCAUGGACGGGGGAGGCUGAUAGAAGGUUCUAUGCAUGGCUACUAAGUAGGUUUAGGUGGCAAGACAUGAGAUUCACUUUCCCUGAUGGCCAGCAUAGAUAUUUCACUCCAAGAUCCAUUGUUAGAACAUUGGGUCUGAGUAACAGUGGCCGCCAAGUCAGUAUGAUAAAGUUGCCUCCAAAACAUAGGCAGAAUUUGGCACUCCGUAUUAGAACCAUCCUAGGGAUAGAGACUAAGAAGCGUGCCAGGGAUGGGGGGUUGACAAUUCGCGCCGUAAGCGACGCUAUCAACAGAAUGAUUGCUUCAGGAGAUCUCCGUUAUAGAGACAGAGCUUUUGAGAUGGCUUUCUCACUGUUAGCGGCUGAUACAUGUGUUGGCCCUAAGCAGUCCUACACUUUGAUACCUUGGGAGAUGUUUGCUUGUGUGCUGUGCGCUGAGGGGACUGGUGAGUACGAUCUAGCAGAAUGGGCAUUUGAGAUCAUCAGAGCAGCUGUGAAAAAACUACAAAAAGAUUUGGUGGCUGGGGUGAGAACUCUGAUUGUUGGCGGUAGCCAUUUGGCACUCAUUCCGUGGUUCUUCGACUGGAUGAACUUCGGUGCAGAUAAUGUGGAGCCGCACACUGUCCCCCACAUCAGCGUUUACACCGGGGAGAUAUGCAGGAGGCUGAUAUAUCUCACAAGGGAAUACCCCUCUGUUUUUAGUACCAAGUCUUAUGAUGAGUUCAACCCAUUAGAUGAUGUGUGGCAUGGGGUGGUGGGCGAGCCUGGUGGGAUCCUGCGACAUCCAACUCAACUGGAAGCGCUGCGGGCAGUUCAGGGUAUCAUUGCAGCAAACCAACAGGCUGCCAUGGAUUGUUCCAUAAAGGAAGGCGAUGAGGACCCCAGGGUUGAAUGCGAGGACGAUGAGAAGCGCAGGGAACGCACAGCUGCUAAAGGUAAAUGGGCAGCAAAAGAGAGUUCAGAAAGCUCAAGCAGCGACAGUGAUGACGAACCAAUCGGCCCUAGUGUCCGACUAGGCAGAAUGUUGGAACGAGCUGACAUACGAGGAAAAAACAUUGAUCCACCAAAUCCCAAUGCCAGCUUAAGAAUCAGCAAUGAUGUCUGGAAUGCCCGCGUUACAGGCAAGUAUUGA
rnacentral:rRNA from 1 species